UCGGUCCCUACUCCUACGGGAGGCAGCAGUGAGGAAUUUUCGGCAAUGGGGGAAACCCUGACCGAGCAAUACUACGUGAAGGACGAAGGUAUGCCGAGAGGCGAUUGUAAACUUCUGUUAGUGCGGAAAAAGGGCUGAACGUGAGUUCAGUUUUGAUGGUACGCACAGAGAAAGCCACGACUAACUACGUGCCAGCAGUCGCGGUAAGACGUAGGUGGCGAACGUUAUCCGGAAUUAUUGGGCGUAAAGGGUGCGUAGAUGGUCGAAUAAGUUAGUAGUGGGAAAUCGAGGCCUAACCUCGUGGAAACUGGUAAUACUGUUUGACUAGAGGGCAGGAGAGGUUAACGGAACUCUUUGUGUAGGGGUAAAAUCCGACGAUAUAAAGAUGAACACCGAUAACGGCGAAGGCAGUUAACUAUUCUGUUCCUGACAUUGAGGCACGAAAGCGUGGGGAGCAAAAAGGAUUAGAUACCCUUGUAGUCCACGCCCUAAACGAUGAGUGCUAGAUAUUGGACUUUUAAGUUCAGUGUCGCUAGGUAACCCGGUAAGCACUCCGCCUGGGUAGUACGCUCGCAAGAGUGAAACUCAAAGGAAUUGACGGGGACUCGCACAAGCACUGGAGCAUGUGGUUUAAUCCGACACAACGCGUAGAACCUUACCAAGGCUUGACAUGGAAGUAGCAAUACUAAACUAGGAAACUAGUUGUAUCACACAGGUGCUGCAUGGCCGUCGUCAGUUCGUGCCGUGAGGUGUAUGGUUAAGUCCUAUAACGAACGCAACCCUUAGGCUUAGUUGCCAGCAUUCAGUUGGGGACUCUAAGCCGACUGCAGGCGUGCCUAAAAACAUGCCUUAUAUUGAGCAAUCAGUAUACUGAGUAAUCAGGAGGAAGGAAAGGAUGACGUCUGGUCGUCAUGGCCCUUAUGCCUUGGGCGACACACGUGCUACAAUGGUUAAUACAAAGGGACGCCAACCCGCGAGGGGGAGCAAAUCUCAAAAAAUUAGCCUUAGUUCGGAUUGGAGGCUGAAACUCGCCUCCAUGAAGUAGGAAUUGCUAGUAAUCGCAAAUCAGCCACGUUGCGGUGAAUACGUUCUCGAGUCUUGUACACACCGCCCGUCAAGUCACGAAAGUCGGUAAUGCCUGAAAUCAACUGGCUAACCCGCAAGGGAAGUAGUUGACAAGGGUAAUAUUGGUGAUUGGGCUAAGUCGUAACAAGGUA
rnacentral:rRNA from 1 species